rnacentral:rRNA from 1 species
GCCGGUAAGGUGAUAUGAACCGUUAUAACCGGCGAUACCCGAAUGGGGAAACCCAGUGUGACUCGUCACACUAUCAUUAACUGAAUCCAUAGGUUAAUGAGGCGAACCGGGGGAACUGAAACAUCUAAGUACCCCGAGGAAAAGAAAUCAACCGAGAUUCCCCCAGUAGCGGCGAGCGAACGGGGAGGAGCCCAGAGCCUGAAUCAGCAUGUGUGUUAGUGGAAGCGUCUGGAAAGGCGCGCGAUACAGGGUGACAGCCCCGUACACAAAAGCGCAUGUGCUGUGAGCUCGAUGAGUAGGGCGGGACACGUGGUAUCCUGUCUGAAUAUGGGGGGACCAUCCUCCAAGGCUAAAUACUCCUGACUGACCGAUAGUGAACCAGUACCGUGAGGGAAAGGCGAAAAGAACCCCGGCGAGGGGAGUGAAAAAGAACCUGAAACCGUGUACGUACAAGCAGUGGGAGCACAGGUUUACCUGUGUGACUGCGUACCUUUUGUAUAAUGGGUCAGCGACUUAUAUUCUGUAGCAAGGUUAACCGAAUAGGGGAGCCGGAGGGAAACCGAGUCUUAAUUGGGCGUUAAGUUGCAGGGUAUAGACCCGAAACCCGGUGAUCUAGCCAUGGGCAGGUUGAAGGUUGGGUAACACUAACUGGAGGACCGAACCGACUAAUGUUGAAAAAUUAGCGGAUGACCUGUGGCUGGGGGUGAAAGGCCAAUCAAACCGGGAGAUAGCUGGUUCUCCCCGAAAGCUAUUUAGGUAGCGCCUCGUGAAUUCAUCUCCGGGGGUAGAGCACUGUUUCGGCUAGGGGGCCAUCCCGGCUUACCAACCCGAUGCAAACUGCGAAUACCGGAGAAUGUUAUCACGGGAGACACACGGCGGGUGCUAACGUCCGUCGUGAAGAGGGAAACAACCCAGACCGCCAGCUAAGGUCCCAAAGUCAUGGUUAAGUGGGAAACGAUGUGGGAAGGCCCAGACAGCCAGGAUGUUGGCUUAGAAGCAGCCAUCAUUUAAAGAAAGCGUAAUAGCUCACUGGUCGAGUCGGCCUGCGCGGAAGAUGUAACGGGGCUAAACCAUG